rnacentral:tRNA from 1 species
GGUGCCAUCUUCUAACGGUCAGGAAACGGGGCUUUCAACUCCGCAAUGCGCGGUUCGAUUCCGGCUGGCAUCACCA